rnacentral:rRNA from 1 species
GACGAACGCUGGCGGCGUGCUUAACACAUGCAAGUCGAACGAAGUGGCGAACGGGUGAGUAAAGCGUAAUCAACCUGCCCUUCAGCGGGGGACAACAGUUGGAAACGACUGCUCAUACCGCAUACUGAAGGAGGGGAUUGCGUCUGAUUAGAUAGGUGGAGGGGUAACGGCCCACCAAGGCGAUGAGCAGUAGCCGGUCUGAUAGGAUGAACGGCCACAUUGGGACUGAGAAACGGCCCAGACUCCUACGGGAGGAAGCAGGGGGGAAUCUUCCGAAAUGGACGAAAGUCUGACGGAGCAACGCCGCGUGAGUGAUGACGGACUUCGGGUUGUAAAGCUCUGUUAAUCGGGACGCGGUACCGGAAUAGAAAGCCACGGCUAACGACGUGCCAGCAGCCGCGGUAAUAC